UACAGAGGUCUCAAGCGUUGUUCGGAUUUAUUGGGCGUAAAGGGCGCGUAGGCGGCGGGGUAAGUCGGGUGUGAAAUCUCAGGGCUCAACCCUGAAACUGCACUUGAUACUGCUCUGCUUGAGGACUGGAGAGGAGACUGGAAUUCACGGUGUAGUAGUGAAAUGCGUAGAUAUCGUGAGGAAGACCAGUGGCGAAGGCGGGUCUCUGGACAGUUCCUGACGCUGAGGCGCGAAGGCCAGGGGAGCAAACGGG
rnacentral:rRNA from 1 species